rnacentral:rRNA from 1 species
UACGUAGGUGGCAAGCGUUGUCCGGAAUUAUUGGGCGUAAAGCGCGCUCAGGUGGUUUCUUAAGUCUGAUGUGAAAGCCCACGGCUCAACCGUGGAGGGUCAUUGGAAACUGGGGGACUUGAGUGCAGGAGAGAAGAGUGGAAUUCCACGUGUAGCGGUGAAAUGCGUAGAGAUGUGGAGGAACACCAGUGGCGAAGGCGACUCUUUGGCCUGUAACUGACGCUGAGGCGCGAAAGCGUGGGGAGCAAACAGG